rnacentral:lncRNA from 1 species
ACCUGCAUCUGUAAUUAAACAACAUAAACUAGACACUCCCUGUUCAACUCCACAUCCAUCAGGCAACCAUUGACAUCGAUGCUUCACUUCAGUUUCUUCUGAAUUUGUCUAAAACUUUGACAUGUCCAAAUUAAGCGAAAGCAAAAAUCUGGAUGUGCUUUAGAUGUAUCGUGGAGAGAGCAUCGCCAUAAAACAUUUGAGAACUAGCUUGUAUGGUACCACAUACUGCCUGCUACC